rnacentral:rRNA from 1 species
CAGCCGCCACGGUAAUACGAGGGGCGCAGGCGUUAUUCGGAUUGAUUGGGUGUAAAGGGUGUGCAGACGGCUUAUUAAGUCACUUGUUAAAUUCUUCGGCCUAACUGAAGGUCUGCAAGUGAUACUGAUGAGCUAGAGGGUGGAAGAGAGAAGUGGAAUUCUCGGAGUAGCGGUAAAAUGCGUAGAUCUCGAGAGGAACACCAAUGGCGAAGGCAGCUUCUUGGUCCAUUCCUGACGUUCAUACACGAAAGCGUGGGGAGCAAACGGGAUUAGAUACCCCCGUAGUCCCUGUCUCUUAUAA